UACGUAGGGUGCAAGCGUUGUCCGGAAUUAUUGGGCGUAAAGAGCUCGUAGGCGGUUAGUCGCGUCUGCUGUGAAAACUCGGGGCUUAACUCCGGGCCUGCAGUGGGUACGGGCUGACUAGAGUGCGGUAGGGGGAGACUGGAAUUCCUGGUGUAGCGGUGGAAUGCGCAGAUAUCAGGAGGAACACCGAUGGCGAAGGCAGGUCUCUGGGCCGCAACUGACGCUGAGGAGCGAAAGCAUGGGGGAGCGAACAGG
rnacentral:rRNA from 1 species